AUGAAGUACUCCUUUACUCUUCCUCACGUCGCUGAACCUGUUCAGACUCUUCUGUCGAGCACAAUCUGUGGAUGGGCACGAAGGCGAGAAAGAAGAAGGGCGGCUCGCGCCAUCAGCGAGGUGGUGACCAGCGAGUACACCAUCAACAUCCUGGCGCAUCCACGGCAUCUCCUUCAAGAGGAGAGCUCCUCGUGCGCUCAAGGAGAUCCGCAAGUUUGCGGUGAAGGAGAUGGGCACGCCUGACGUCCGCAUCGACACCCGUCUCAACAAGGCCGUGUGGGCCAAAGGUGUCCGGAAUGUGCCGUACCGCAUGCGUGUGCGUCUGUCCCGGAAACGCAACGAAGACGAAGACUCUCCAAACAAGCUGUACACCCUCGUCACAUACGUCCCCGUCACCACCCACAGAGGUCUUCAGACUGUAAAUGUGGAUGAAAACUAAGUCUCUCUUCAUGCUUGUUGGAAUAAAAAACAUAAAAGUA